rnacentral:tRNA from 1 species
GCGCCGUUAGCUCAGCCGGAUAGAGUGUUUGGCUACGAACCAAAAGGCCGGGGGUUCGAGUCCCUUACGGCGCGCCA